UCGGGCUAACCUGCACCUGAAAUCUGAGCCGCUGGUAGAUGAGUGGGGAUGUGGGAAAGGCUGUCAGACGCGUCAGGGCUAGAGCUAGGAAAAAUAAGAAUACGUUUUAUAUACGGCUGGGCACAGUGCGUACUGGUGGGCCAUUUUCGUAGCUGGCCGCGUCAGUCCGUGAGGGGUUGGGUUCUGAGCCGUGGCUCAGUACGUUAGCCCAGGUUACCUGAGCCGCCUUAUCUGCUGGGUAUCUCGGGGGAAUGGCGUCUGCGGCGGCUGCGACCCCUAGCGGCGGAGCGGCAGAGCGGCGAUGGAAGCGGGCGGGCUGGAGUUCCUGCUGGAUCCAAUUGAGCGGUUACCGCUCAGGGAAGAGUUCACGGACAACUUCGAGCGCCCUGAUCCGGUGCCUCUGUCGCUGCUGUCUCCGCGUGAGCAAGCGUCGGCCUUGCCGGCGAAUUCAAACUGCAGCUCAGGCUGUGCACAUGGAGUAGGUGGCUGCAGCCCUGACCGGUCUGGAGGCGAGCUCCGCCGGAGGAGGAAUGCUUCACUGCACACUGGAAGGUGAAUCCGGAAGGCCCCGGCUGGAUGAAGAGGAUAGGGAAUCAGGAUGGUGUAUUAGUAAAUUAUUAAUUAGAAUUUGAGAAACUGUGGGAAGAUGAUAGUAUCUUCUGGGUAACUCAAGAUGCAUUUGAGUACUGCACCACCCGACCGGACGUCUUGUGCCUCACGAAUGAGCGCGCUUGAACAAUCCAUCCACAAGUUUGCCGAAGAACCUAUUUCUCGUGUACAGGUCACUGUCCAGAUCAUCAUGCUACUCAAGCAGCAGAGCGUAAGGGCCAUACUACACUUGUCUCAAGCCAAAAAUGCAAGGCAGCUGGACAUGUUCAAGUUCUCUGAUCAGCUCCUCAGAUCUCUUAGCCACCGAUGUGUAUGUUCUCCUGCACGCGGAUUUACCGACUGCCCUCUGACAGGCAUAGGGACUUCGAACACAGCCGACCAUAAGAAUACACUUGCAUGCAAGAUUCGAGGCCAGAUACUUGAUUUGUCCAACUGCAAGCGAUCAGGUAACUCUCUCGACGUCCUUGGUGAAUCCUCUCACAAGUGCGAACACAGGAUUGAUCAAUCCUCGUCCCAACAUGAAGGCUACUCCAUCCUCAUCUACUCCCCUGCUGAACUUCUGCAAGUCGACGCUUAGGGCCAUUGCAGAGAUGUAUGCUAAUCUCCCUGCCGACAGCCACAUCACUGUGAUAUAUUCCAGCAUGGCUUCGCCAGCAAUCCAUGUGCUGGGGUGUGGUACCGUAUCCUCCGCAUCCGGCUACCGCCGAGCAGAUCGAGGUGUACUUAUAACAAGCAUCUGAGCAGCAACUGUCCAGGUUUUCAUUGUUUUCUUAGCAUUUUCAUUGCAUCUCAUGUUAGGCUUCUUUUUGAGCCACUGUGCCAUAACAGCACCAUUCCAAACAGCCAGGCACUUCAUUAUUCAUAAUUCACCAAUGUUUAUUGGCAUCACUGGCAUGGCCCUGCGCCAGUAGCUCAUUGGGACACGUAUCUUAGAUACGUAUCUUAGAUCGCUGGUCUCAAUUCUCAUAAGGAGAUUUGCUUGGGCCGACCUUGAAGUUAACCAAGGGUGUUUGUACCAUAGUUGGAGGCACAUUAUGGAGGCAGACUUCAGUAACCAUCACAUCACACCUUUUUCAGCCGAACGUGUUGUUCCUUAUUACCAUCUCCGCUCCCGCCUUAAACUGAGAUUUCUUGUUUAAUGACACUCCAGAUUCUUGUCCUGGCGGACCAUGACUACUUGACCAGCAUGUCCAUCCAGAAUCAGCUUGUCGUACAGGGGUAUACCGUAUGACAUUACUUCCUCUCAGAAGUUCUUCCUUCCCGGUCGUUCCACUGGAGGAAAAUUGGCUUCUGCUAAAGUAGGAAAUGAUGUCCAAAAAACUGCAUGUACUUGACCCACUGUCAGGACGCAGAGGACCUAGCAUGCAAACCAAGGAUAAGCGCGAACUUAUCGCCUGGAAGCUUCACCACGCUGUCUUGCACUGCCUCAAUGAGUACUACGCUGGAUGGCAACACAGGAUGGAGAUUGGUCUACCAUCUACAUAGGAGGAUACCGGGGCUUGCAUCUUGCACAUUGCACAUUGCGAGGCAUUAGGACGGCAUAAAGCUCAAGAUCCCACUGAAAAAGUUUACAGGGGAACACCUCCACGCUGGCGCACGAGGCACUCUGGACGGUACUAGCACCUACCGAUUCUUGCUUCAGAUCGAACAUCUCAGCUUAGACACCAGCUCAUGGCCUGCUUAAACACGCCCCUAAUCUGCGCCGCAGGGAGAUUCCCCCUUAUCACUGCCCCCAUGGAGAUUCUACCUUAGCACUGCUACGAUCUUCUUUUCAAAAAGCAUUUAUGUGAAGAUGUUGUGUUAUAGACGCAAAACCUACCCUCCUUUUGCCAUGUCCGUACCUUCGAAUCAUCUUCGCAUUUUUCAUGUGUGCUUUAUAAAGAUUUGAGUACUCUUUUCGUACUUCCAUUUGUUCAUAACCCUGCUCAUUUAUACAAUAGCUUUCAGUGAUGCUCUCUUUUGACUCA